AGAGCCCAGACCUACAGCUAAGGUCCCUAAAUGAAUUUAAGUGGAAAAGGAUGUGCAGUUGCGUAGACAACUAGGACGUUGGCUUAGAAGCAGCCACUCAUUUAAAGAGUGCGUAAUAGCUCACUAGUCGAGUGAUUGUGCGCCGAAAAUGUAACGGGGCUAAAAUUCAUACCGAAGCUUAGGAAUGAUAGUAAUAUUGUUGGUAGAUGAGCGUUGUGUAAGUCUGCGAAGCUACACCGAAAGGAGUAGUGGAGAUAUCACAAGUGAGAAUGCCGGAAUGAGUAGCGAGAAUUAUGUGAGAAUCAUAAUGGUCGAAAAUCUAAGGUUUCUUGAGGAAGGUUCGUCCGCUCAAGGUAAGCCGGGAGCUAAGGCGAGGCCGAGAGGCGUAGUCGAUGCACAUACGGUAAAGAUUCCGUAGCCGCCGAAGUCGUUAAAUACAGGGACACAGGAACAUAGCCUAACCCCACCGUUGGUUGAGUGGGGCGAAAGGGAGCGAAAAUUAGUAGCGAAGUAGGUGAUUGUACACUGGCGAGAAAAGCUGUAUGAAUUGACAAGGUGCCCGUACCGCAAACCGACACAGGUAGAUGAGGAGAGAAUCCUAAGACCAGCGGGAGAAGUGUUGUUAAGGAACUCGGCAAAAUGACCCCGUAACUUCGGGAUAAGGGGAGCCUACGAGAGUAGGCCGCAGAGAAUAGUCUCAAGCGACUGUUUAGCAAAAACACAGGUCUAUGCUAAAUCGAAAGAUGAUGUAUAUGGGCUGACGCCUGCCCGGUGCUGGAAGGUUAAGGGGAAGUGUUAGAGCAAUCGAAGCACUGAACUUAAGCCCCAGUAAACGGCGGCCGUAACUAUAACGGUCCUAAGGUAGCGAAAUUCCUUGUCAGGUAAGUUCUGACCCGCACGAAUGGCGUAACGACUUGAGAGCUGUCUCAACAACAUACCCGGCGAAAUUGAAGUACUGGUAAAGAUGCCAGUUACCCGUGAUAAGACGGAAAGACCCCAUGGAGCUUUACUGUAACUUGAUAUUGAAUUUUUGUAUUACAUGUACAGGAUAGGUGGGAGACAGAGAACUAAUGCCGCCAGGUGUUAGGGAGUCGAUGUUGGGAUACCACUCUUGUAAUAUGAAGGUUCUAACCUGCACCCGUGAAUCCGGGUGGGGGACACUGUCAGGUGGACAGUUUGACUGGGGCGGUCGCCUCCUAAAAGGUAACGGAGGCGUUCAAAGGUUGGUUCAGCACGGACGGAAAUCGUGCAACGAGUGCAAACGCAUAAACCAGCCUAACUGCGAGACCGACAAGUCGAGCAGUAACGAAAGUUGGAGUUAGUGAUCCGGCGGUAUGAGAGUGGAAUUGCCGUCGCUCAACGGAUAAAAGCUACCCUGGGGAUAACAGGCUGAUCUCCCCCAAGAGUCCACAUCGACGGGGAGGUUUGGCACCUCGAUGUCGGCUCAUCGCAUCCUGGAGCUGAAGUCGGUUCCAAGGGUUGGGCUGUUCGCCCAUUAAAGCGGUACGCGAGCUGGGUUCAGAACGUCGCGAGACAGUUCGGUCCCUAUCUAUCACGGGCGUAGGAAAUUUGAGGAGAGCUGACCUUAGUACGAGAGGACCGGGUUGGACGUACCGCUGGUGCACCUGUUGUUCUGCCAAGGGCAUAGCAGGGUAGCUAAGUACGGACGGGAUAAACGCUGAAGGCAUCUAAGCGUGAAGCCCCCUUCGAGAUAAGAUUUCCCAUAGCGUAGGCUAGUAAGGACCCAUGAAGACUACAUGGUUGAUAGGCCGGAGGUGGAAGUGCAGUAAUGUAUGUAGCUGACCGGUACUAAUAGUCCGAGGGCUUGACCAA
rnacentral:rRNA from 1 species